rnacentral:tRNA from 1 species
AGCCCGGUGGUGUAGUGGUCAAGCAAGGACAAAACCCUUGAGUAGCGGGCUUUGGACCCGCUGACGCCAGUUCGAAUCUGGCCCGGGCUA